rnacentral:lncRNA from 1 species
CUCAUAGAACUCACGCCAUCUUUCAUCUUCCGGCUCACCUCCGCCCCACCAAUCUUCAGACGCUCACCAAAGGCACUGACUUUUUCCAUCAGAUUGUCGCUCAUUUUCGUGCUCCAAAUUAAUCUAUAAAAGCAGAAACAGAAAACUAUAGAUUAAAUAAAAGUUAAAAAAAAACAAUUGGAGGUUAGCAUUCUCGGAGCACAAGAUACAGGAUGAGAGAUCAAUACUCAGAUAUAAUGGAGUAUGGACACAGCUUCACAAGCCUUUAUUGAAUAUCCAAGAAAAUAAAAUUCUUCCGUCCCAAUGAGAAGCCAUUAAGAAGUUUUAAGAGAUCAAAGCUACCAAUGCAUAUUGAACUAAAAACCAUAAAGGGAACAGGGAAAAUAAACAAAAUAAUCAAUCUCACAGAGCAAAGGAAGCAAUAGUCAAAAUCCUACUGCUCCUGAUGGAUAGAAUUGCUGUUACAAGAAUUAAUGGCAGGCUGGGUUAUUAACCUUCCCCACAAAACAAACAAAAAAAAGAAAAAAGAAAACCCAUUUCAGGAAGGCAUCGAAGAACCAGAGAAGAAACACAAAUCGUAAUACUAACCAUCACGAUGGAGACACGACCUUAUACUGUCUAAACAGCAUCAGUCCUAUCUAAAGACUGAAGUAGAAACAUAAUCUAGGGUUUCGUUAAUACAUCAUACUUGGUUAGCAUCAUGUUUCCCUCUUUUUAUUCUUCUUCUCCUUAAGAACGGCAAGAAAAAUUUUUACCAGGAAAAGGUACAACUGGAGGAGCAAAUUACAAUGGGAUUCAAAACGAUUGAGUCAACAAAAUCGAACAAGACACAUGGAGAUCGAUAAACGAUACACGGAUAAGAGAUCGGUUCUUUACCAGUCGUAACGAGGACCGGAAUCAAAGAUCAAAACAAGAGAUGGUGGACCGAGCGAUCAGAAUGUUCGCGUGAUGCAAAUCGAAAUAACCGACCAGAUCGGGCAGGGAAGGGACAGUAAUUACCUCGAGAUCGAUCGGCAACGGAGGUCGGGAGGAAAGGGUGCAGAAGCACAAAGGAAAGGGAAGGGUGAGUUGUUGCCUUCGCCUCUUUUUCUUUUCCGCUGUCUCCCGUCUUCUGGUUCCCUUUCGCCGCUGCUGCUUCCUCUCUCACCCUUUUCG